AUACGGAGGAUGCGAGCGUUAUCCGGAUUUAUUGGGUUUAAAGGGAGCGUAGGUGGGAUAUUAAGUCAGCUGUGAAAGUUUGGGGCUCAACCUUAAAAUUGCAGUUGAUACUGGUUUCCUUGAGUACGGUAUAGGUGGGCGGAAUUCGUGGUGUAGCGGUGAAAUGCUUAGAUAUCACGAAGAACUCCGAUCGCGAAGGCAGCUCACCGGGCCGGAACUGACACUGAUGCUCGAAAGUGCGGGUAUCAAACAGGAUUAGAUAACCUGGUAGUCCGCACAGUAAACGAUGAAUACUCGCUGUUUGCGAUACACUGUAAGCGGCCAAGCGAAAGCGUUAAGUGUUCCACCUGGGGAGUACGCCGGCAACGGUGAAACUCAAAUGAAUUGACGGGG
rnacentral:rRNA from 1 species